AUUGAACGCUGGCGGCAUGCUUUACACAUGCAAGUCGAACGGCAGCGCGGGGGCAACCCUGGCGGCGAGUGGCGAACGGGUGAGUAAUACAUCGGAACGUACCCAGAAGUGGGGGAUAACGUAGCGAAAGUUACGCUAAUACCGCAUACGUUCUACGGAAGAAAGUGGGGGAUCGCAAGACCUCAUGCUUUUGGAGCGGCCGAUGUCUGAUUAGCUAGUUGGUGAGGUAAAGGCUCACCAAGGCGACGAUCAGUAGCUGGUCUGAGAGGACGACCAGCCACACUGGAACUGAGACACGGUCCAGACUCCUACGGGAGGCAGCAGUGGGGAAUUUUGGACAAUGGGGGCAACCCUGAUCCAGCAAUGCCGCGUGAGUGAAGAAGGCC
rnacentral:rRNA from 1 species